AUUGAACGCUGGCGGCAUGCUUUACACAUGCAAGUCGAACGGUAACAGGGAGCUUGCUCCGCUGACGAGUGGCGAACGGGUGAGUAAUGCGUCGGAACGUGCCGAGUAGUGGGGGAUAACGCAUCGAAAGGUGUGCUAAUACCGCAUACGUACUGAGGUAGAAAGUGGGGGACCUUCGGGCCUCACGCUAUUCGAGCGGCCGACGUCUGAUUAGCUAGUUGGUGAGGUAAAGGCUCACCAAGGCGACGGUCAGUAGCGGGUCUGAGAGGAUGAUCCGCCACACUGGGACUGAGACACGGCCCAGACUCCUACGGGAGGCAGCAGUGGGGAAUUUUGGACAAUGGGCGCAAGCCUAAUCCAGCCAUGCCGCGUGUCUGAAGAAGGCCUUCGGGUUGUAAAGGACUUUUGUCCGGGAGCAAAUGCCUGGUGUUAAUAGCAUCGGGAGCUGAGAGUACCGGAAGAAUAAGCACCGGCUAACUACGUGCCAGCCGCCGCGGUAAAAC
rnacentral:rRNA from 1 species